CGUGGGGGCUAAUACAUGCAAGUCGAGCGAAUGGAUUAAGAGCUUGCUCUUAUGAAGUUAGCGGCGGACGGGUGAGUAACACGUGGGUAACCUGCCCAUAAGACUGGGAUAACUCCGGGAAACCGGGGCUAAUACCGGAUAACAUUUUGAACCGCAUGGUUCGAAAUUGAAAGGCGGCUUCGGCUGUCACUUAUGGAUGGACCCGCGUCGCAUUAGCUAGUUGGUGAGGUAACGGCUCACCAAGGCAACGAUGCGUAGCCGACCUGAGAGGGUGAUCGGCCACACUGGGACUGAGACACGGCCCAGACUCCUACGGGAGGCAGCAGUAGGGAAUCUUCCGCAAUGGACGAAAGUCUGACGGAGCAACGCCGCGUGAGUGAUGAAGGCUUUCGGGUCGUAAAACUCUGUUGUUAGGGAAGAACAAGUGCUAGUUGAAUAAGCUGGCACCUUGACGGUACCUAACCAGAAAGCCACGGCUAACUACGUGCCAGCAGCCGCGGUAAUACGUAGGUGGCAAGCGUUAUCCGGAAUUAUUGGGCGUAAAGCGCGCGCAGGUGGUUUCUUAAGUCUGAUGUGAAAGCCCACGGCUCAACCGUGGAGGGUCAUUGGAAACUGGGAGACUUGAGUGCAGAAGAGGAAAGUGGAAUUCCAUGUGUAGCGGUGAAAUGCGUAGAGAUAUGGAGGAACACCAGUGGCGAAGGCGACUUUCUGGUCUGUAACUGACACUGAGGCGCG
rnacentral:rRNA from 1 species